UACGAAGGGGGCUAGCGUUGUUCGGAAUUACUGGGCGUAAAGCGAACGUAGGCGGUGUUCCAUGUCAGAGGUGAAAGCCUGGGGCUCAACUCCAGAAUUGCCUUUGAAACGGGGACGCUUGAGUCCGAGAGAGGAUGGCGGAAUUCCUAGUGUAGAGGUGAAAUUCGUAGAUAUUAGGAAGAACACCGGUGGCGAAGGCGGCCAUCUGGCUCGGUACUGACGCUCAGGUUCGAAAGCGUGGGGAGCAAAC
rnacentral:rRNA from 1 species